GGCUUAAUGGUAAAGCAUCUGCUUGGUGUGCAGAAGGUCCAAGUUCAACCACUGGCA
rnacentral:tRNA from 1 species